rnacentral:lncRNA from 1 species
AUGGUCCAAAAUCAUCAGGGCUCAAAUGGACCUGCAGGUUCACGGCUACCGCGCAUAUUAAAAGGACAGUCUCCAAAAAAUGUUGACAGCAAUCCCAUUUAUCAUCACACGCAUGUGCAACUGGAACCAACUGGAAGGACUGGGGUAAAUCCUCAGCUGGCAGAAACUGAUACAGCUCCACUGGCUUCAGUGGAUAUAUGCCAAUUUACACCAUCUGCAGACCUGAUACGCUCCAUGUGACAAGGUAUAGCUCCAUGUGACAAGGUAUAGCUGCACUUGAAUGCCCUUUUCACUUCUCUUUUUUUAAAAUGUCUUUCUUUAUGAAUUAACUAAAGCAAUAUUCAUUCAGGGUAGGUUGGGACUGACUAUUGCAAGGUCCCUGGGUUUUCCUCCGAGAUAUCUGGGUCUGACCACUGCUGGAGACAGGAGACUGGGCUAGAUAAGGCUCUGGUCUGAUACAGCAUGGAAAUUAUGUUCCUAGUCUCAUGCUGCUGUUGCUGCACUAUCUUGAAUUUCCAGCCUGAGAGAGUAAGACAUUUGCUAUUUAUUCAAUGAUGGGACACAGCUUUUGCAAUAGCUUUUCCAGCUUCUUCUACCUCCCCCAGCCAAUAAGUCUCCAACCCAACCUAAUGAAAUCUCCUCAAAAGCUCCCCUGAUUGUACUCUCCCUGGGUUUAAUCCUCCCCAAGAAUGCCAGCCUGUGCUUACAUCCCACAUAAGCCUUCAAAAUAAGGUGCAAGGGAAGCACUGGCCUCCUGCCGCCAACCUUCUGCACAGGGAUGGAUUUUACCCACUAAAAGUCAGAUUCUGUUUCAUGUAGUAGGCAUCUAAGUGGUACUUAGACAUCAAAGCCACUAAGUGCAAUCUUAUUCCAUUCUGUUCAAGCCCCUUGAAACCAUUAACAUGACUAUCUUUAUAACAUGCCUUCAUCUUAGCCUUAACACUAAGUCACAAAAAACAAGGAGGAGACCCCACCUAUCUUCUGCAUUAAUAGCUUUUCAGGGACUUGAGCAAGAUGAAAUACAGUCGCACUUAGAGAUGCCUAAGAGGGGGAAUAGGAUCUGGCUGUAGGAAUUUUACCUCUGCUUUCUAGGGAAGCAGGUUCUGCCUGUAGAGAUGAGAGGUGAAGUCAGUCCCUGUGGCGCGUUCAAAUCCUCUCCACCAAGUCACCAAUAGAGAGAGGGGUCUUUUAUUCUGUUUUCUUUUAAUCAAACCUCCUCCUCUAGCUGCAA